AGUGAACGCUGGCGGCAUGCUUUACACAUGCCAGUCGAACGGCAGCACAGUAUUCGCUUUCUCGUACAGUGGGCGAGGGGCGGGUGAUUGAUCAAAACGUCCGCAUCAGUUGGUGCUAGGGCGGUGACGUCGGGAAUCUUACCCCAAUCCCCCAUACGGCCUACGGGGGGAAGCAGGAGACCUUCCGCCCUUGGGCGGGUGAAUGUGCCGAUGUCGGAUUAGCUAGUUGGUGGGGUAAAGGCCCACCAAGGCGACGAUGCGUAGCUGGUCUGAGAGGAUGACCAGCCACACUGGAACUGAGACACGGCCCAGACUCCUACGGGAGGCAGCAGUGGGGAAUAUUGGACAAUGGGCGCAAGCCUGAUCCAGCCAUGCCGCGUGCGUGAAGAAGGCCUUCGGGUUGUAAACCGCUUUUGUUGGGGAAGAAAAGCAGUAGGUUAAUACCCCGCGGUGAUGACGGUACCGAAAGAAUAAGCACCGGCUAACUUCGUG
rnacentral:rRNA from 1 species